UACGUAGGCAGCAAGCGUUGUUCGGAAUUACUGGGCGUAAAGAGUGUGUAGGCGGUGCUCUAAGUCUGUUGUGAAAUCUCCCGGCUUAACUGGGAGGGUGCAGCGGAAACUGGAAUGCUCGAGUAUGGGAGAGGUAAGCGGAAUUCCUGGUGUAGCGGUGAAAUGCGCAGAUAUCAGGAGGAACACCGGUGGCGAAGGCGGGUCUCUGGGCCGAUACUGACGCUGAGGAGCGAAAGCGUGGGGAGCGAACAGG
rnacentral:rRNA from 1 species